GAUGAAGAACGUAGCGAAAUGCGAUAAGUAAUGUGAAUUGCAGAAUUCAGUGAAUCAUCGAAUCUUUGAACGCACAUUGCGCCCGCCAGUAUUCUGGCGGGCAUGCCUGUUCGAGCGUCAUUUCAACCAUCAAGCCCCCGGCUUGUGUUGGGGACCUGCGGCUGCCGCAGGCCCUGAAAACCAGUGGCGGGCUCGCUAGUCACUCCGAGCGUAGUAAUACAUCUCGCUCAGGGCGUGCUGCGGGUUCCGGCCGUUAAAAAGCCUUAUUUACCCAAGGUUGACCUCGGAUCAGGUAGGAAGACCCGCUGAACUUAAGCAUAUCAUAGCGGAGGA
rnacentral:misc_RNA from 1 species